GGAGAGGUGGCCGAGUGGUCGAAGGCGCUCCCCUGCUAAGGGAGUAUACGGGAGACCGUAUCGAGGGUUCGAAUCCCUUCCUCUCCG
rnacentral:tRNA from 1 species